rnacentral:rRNA from 1 species
CCUACGGGUGGCAGCAGUGGGGAAUAUUGCUCAAUGGGGGAAACCCUGAUGCAGCGACGCCGCGUGAGGGAUGAAGGUUUUCGGUUUGUAAAGCUCUUUCAUCAGGGAAGAAAAUGACGGUACCUGACUAAGAAGCACCGGCUAACUCCGUGCCAGCAGCCGCGGUAAUACGGAGGGGGCAAGCGUUAUCCGGAUUUAUUGGGUGUAAAGGGCGCGUAGGCGGGAUUGUAAGUCAGAUGUGAAAGUCCACGGCUCAACCGUGGAACUGCAGUUGAAACUGUAAGUCUUGAGUAUGGACAGGGAAGGUGGAAUUCUUGGUGUAGGGGUAAAAUCCGUAGAGAUCAAGAGGAAUACUGAUUGCGAAGGCAAGCGGCCAG